CCCGUAAUCUACCCAGUUUUCGUAUCCAAAACGGAUAUCUGCGUUAAUUUUGGAGCUAAUACGUGCACCAAAGCACCGCCAGCAAUGGUAGUGCGCACAUAUUAGAUCAAGACCUAUUGGGGCAACCCACUUGAUGACUCUGAAUAUUUUUGCGGAUCGCAUGGUCUUGUACCGGCGACGUACUGGUCGAGCGGGUGCCCUAUCAACUAUUGAUGGAAGUCUAUGUGUCUUCCAUGGUUGUAACGGGUAACGGAGAAUAAGGGUUCGACUCCGGAGAGCUAGCCUUAGAAACGGCUAUCACAUCCAAGGAAGGCAGCAGGCGCGUAAAUUACCCACUCUCAAUUCGAGGAGGUAGUGACUAUCAAUAACGAGACAGAUCUCUUUGAGGUCUGUCAUUGAAAUGAGCACAACUUAAAGACUUUAACGAAGUCUAUGGGAGGGCAAGUCUGGUGCCAGCAGCCGCGGUAAUUCCAGCUCCCAACGUGUAUAUCGUCAUUGCUGCGGUUAAAAAGCUCGUAGUUGGAUCUAAGUUCAUGACUGUAGUUCUCCAUGUGAGAUACUGCUAGUCUGGACUGUUUCGCCGGUUUUCCGUAGCUUCGGCUGCGGUGACUGGUGUUGUAACUUUGAUUAAAUCAAUGUGAUUAAAACAGGCGUUUGCUUGAAUGCUUUAUCAUGGAAUAAUAGAAUAUGACUUCGGUCCAUUCUGUUGGUCUUGGGAUUGAAGUAAUGAUUAAAAGGAACAACUCGGGGGCAUCCGUAUCGCUGCGUGAGAGGUGAAAUUCUUGGACCGCAGCGAGACGACCUAUUGCGAAAGCAUUGCCC
rnacentral:rRNA from 1 species